UCUGUUUGAUCCUGGCAGAGGUCACUGCUAUCGGUGUUCGUCUAAGCCAUGCGAGUCAUAUGUUCUUCGUGAACAUGGCGUACUGCUCAGUAACACGUGGAUAACCUGCCCUUGGGUUCGGCAUAACCCCGGGAAACUGGGGAUAAUACCGGAUAACGCAUAUAUGCUGGAAUUCUUUAUGCGUAAAAUGGAUUCGUCCGCCCAAGGAUGGGUCUGCGGCCUAUCAGGUAGUAGUGGGUGUAAUGUACCUACUAGCCGACGACGGGUACGGGUUGUGAGAGCAAGAGCCCGGAGAUGGAUUCUGAGACAUGAAUCCAGGCCCUACGGGGCGCAGCAGGCGCGAAAACUUUACAAUGCGGGAAACCGUGAUAAGGGGACACCGAGUGCCAGCAUCAUAUGCUGGCUGUCCGGGUGUGUAAAAUACACCUGUUAGCAAGGGCCGGGCAAGACCGGUGCCAGCCGCCGCGGUAACACCGGCGGCCCGAGUGGUGAUCGUGUUUAUUGGGUCUAAAGGGUCCGUAGCCGGUUUGGUCAGUCCUCCGGGAAAUCUGACGGCUUAACCGUUAGGCUUUCGGGGGAUACUGCCAGACUUGGAACCGGGAGAGGUAAGAGGUACUACAGGGGUAGGAGUGAAAUCUUGUAAUCCCUGUGGGACCACCUGUGGCGAAGGCGUCUUACCAGAACGGGUUCGACGGUGAGGGACGAAAGCUGGGGGCACGAACCGGAUUAGAUACCCGGGUAGUCCCAGCCGUAAACGAUGCUCGCUAGGUGUCAGGCAUGGCGCGACCGUGUCUGGUGCCGCAGGGAAGCCGUGAAGCGAGCCACCUGGGAAGUACGGCCGCAAGGCUGAAACUUAAAGGAAUUGGCGGGGGAGCACAACAACGGGUGGAGCCUGCGGUUUAAUUGGACUCAACGCCGGACAACUCACCGGGGGCGACAGCAAUAUGUAGGUCAGGCUGAAGACCUUGCCUGAAUCGCUGAGAGGAGGUGCAUGGCCGUCGCCAGUUCGUACUGUGAAGCAUCCUGUUAAGUCAGGCAACGAGCGAGACCCA
rnacentral:rRNA from 1 species